rnacentral:lncRNA from 1 species
AAUCACUUGUGUCCUAAGGAGGAGGGGAAAUGCCCCACAGAAGAUUGCCUUGGCCUCUGUGUGACACUGCUGUCUCCGGGAAUCACAAGCCACACUGCAGGAAGUAGGAAAAGGAGACCUGUUUUCUCCAUGCUUGCCUGGCCUUUGCCCAUCUUCCCCAAAGCCUGCUGUGCCCUCCUCUGCUUGUUCGCUAGGCUAAGCCCUUGUGUGGCCAGCUUUCCAUUGCUCCUCAGCUUUUAGGCCUAUAGUGA